AUCAGAACCCUUCUCUCUCUCUCACUCUCUCUCUGUGUAAGACCUCAUUUUGACUCUGGGAAACCUUCAGUCUCAGAUAAACCAAUCCCUCAAAUCUCUCACUCACUCGAUCGCUCGCUCUCUCUCUAAACCCUUCAGUCUCAGAGAUUACGAUUCAACCUUCUUCAGCUCGGUUUCAUCUCAGAUCUAAUCGCAGAGUGAUUUCAAUUUCGAAGUUCUCUCUCUCUCUCUCUCUCUCUCUCUCUCUCUCUAUUUCGAAGCUCCACCGCCACCACCAUCUGCAUCGUUGACUAAGAUCUGGAUAUUGGACUAGUGAUAAGAGGGAAUGGGCUGAACUAUCGAGAUUGGCCCCUUUAUUGAUCUUGUAGUUUGGGACAAAAUAGUAAUUGCUUUUGUUUUGAUUGGAGUACAAAAGUCUUUUGUGAAGGUAUGGUGAGUAAGAUUGCUGACUUUGAGACUGUUAGGGAUAUCAAGAGAAGCUUUUCUAUGUAAGAUUAGCUAAUAUCAUCAUAGUUUGGUUUGCUUUUAUGGAAUUUGUUCAUUGCAAUAUACUUGUUCUGCUUUUACUUAUACAAGAUUAAAUAUUGUAUAUCUAAGAAUAUAUUAUGUUACUUUUGCCUCAAAUUUCUUUCCCAUCACUAUAUUUAAAAUAUACAUAUGAUAAAUGAACUAGAUGAAUAAUAAUGUUAAUGGAUAAUAUUGUCAGUUGGAAGCAACUUGGCACUUGUAAAUGUUGCCACCAAACAUACAUUAACAUAGAGAAAGCAAUUCUUGAUUUCAAGGCACUUUCAAAUUAAACAAUUACCGAACAUUAGUUUUUUUGUUGAAAUUCCUUUUUGGAAGCCCUCCUUAAUGGACUUCCAACUACAAGAAAUUGCACCAAGCAUGCUCUUAAUCAGUAAGUGGACUUCCACUUCUGUCAUGUUCAUCAAUUUGAGUGCUUGAACACCCUAAUGCUUUGAACAAGACAAAUUUUUGGAAUUCAGAACUUUGAAUGUGCAUUCAAAAUUAUUUCCCAAAUAUGUAGUUGAAUAUUUACCCCCAAUGCAUGUUGCAUUAUUUUGGCAUAUGAUCUCAUGAAUUCUGACAAUCUCACAUCUAGUUGUUCACCAGCAUAUGAUUUAAGACCAAAAGGCUUUCUAUUCUCUACCACACUCCAAUUUUUAUCUCGUCAGGAAUAUCUAAGAUUGUUUUCUUUUUUCCCUACCUGAUACUGAUUAUGCAAACUGGUUGAAGAAAUUUUGUUGCUUUGUUGCAGGAAUUAUACACUGGUGGUAACAACAGGAAAAUUCUAGUUUGGUCUCCAACCAAAUUUGUUUCUGAUGAACUGGAUGAAUGGAUCAAGAGAGGGAAGGCUUCUGCUCUGGAUCAGGAUAACUGGAGUGAUUGACAUUUAUUGCUGCCACUGUGUUUCAGAUUUCCAGGCUCUUAAAGCUUUGAAUGGUGAGCAUAUUUACAACAGUUAUGGCAUUCUGUUUUGUUGCACAUGGGAAAAGAACACAUGCCCCAUCCCUCUUACCUGUUGCAGGUCAUUUGUCUCUCAAUUUGGACUGCACCUGCAUGUUUAUCGCUGGCUUCAUAGCAUUCACUUUUUUAAAAAAUUAUUUAUUUAUUUAUUAAUAUAUGGAUCACUUAUUAUUUUCUAUCUUUCA